CAGGCGCCGUCUGAAGCGUGAUCAUCAGCAGCAAAACGAUCGUAAAUUUGCAGCUAAAUAACAAUAUACACUACACCCCACACACAUACACACAAUUAUACACUCACAUACAUAGUUCACAUUUCUAGUUGUCUAAAUGUCGGCAUAAACAUUUCACUCGACCAUUUUUUACGAGCGAAACGAAACACAAAAACAAAAAAACAAAAACAAAAACAAAAAAACAUAAAAAAAACAGACAGCACAAAUUAAAGCGUGCGACAUUGUGUAAUGCGUAUUACAAUGCCAACAAAAUGGGGCGUGGCUAGCCAAAAAGAGUUACACUUAAAAAAAGGAGAGAAGAAGACAAUAUUUAACGAGUGCUCAGCCUAAGAAGGUCUCGAGCUCCGGACGUGACAACAACACAUGACAGAGAGUUAGAAAAAAUGGACAAGCGCAAAAAAAAAAACACAACAAAAAUCCCAAAAACCCAGAAAGAUUUAUUGAUCAAAGUGAUGUGAAUUGAAUUUGUGACUCAGUUGGCGGCUUCUGUUGCAACAUUCAAAUGCCCGGCCAUGCGUCAGCGCUGGAUAACAAUGCGCGGCGACGCUAUGUUGUCCAUUAGCCGGGAGCAGCUAAUUAAAAUGAAAGUUGUUUCUGUUGCUGCCGUCAAUUUGCAAAGUGAAAUUGCCUACUAGCAAAAUCAGUCAAAGAGCGAGAGGUUGGCCAACUGCAAAUGCCAACAAGUGCGAAAUGCGAUCGAAUUGCUAAGCGAAAAUUGCAGCCACUUGGAGAAAUGUCAGAUUGAAGACUGACAAACGAAAGCGCAAACACUUACGCAAAUUGCCUGAACGAACACUGAACACUGAGGCAAACGAGGCAAAUUAAACUAAUUGAAAUGUGAGUGCCUGGCAAUAAGUGCAGCAGCAAUCAUUUCAUGCUCGAGGAGAGGUCAAAGUGAAAUUCAAUGCGAAAUUGAUGAAACUGCAGCAGCAGCAACUGCAGAACAUAAUCUAAGGCGAGCAUAAUUAGAUAACUGAUUAAGCCAAGUGCAAGAGUCUAAUUAAAUGUUAAUUGUAGUCGAGUUCAAUUUGUAAUUUAAUAAAGAAUGCAAAAUGGGAAACUCGAUACAGAAUUC